CGACGCCGCACCCGGCAGGCGGUGGCUCUGCGCGGCACCCCCGCGGAGCGGCUCCCGGUCUCCGGCGCUGCCGCGGUGCGGCCACCCUGCGGGUGGGCGCGGGACACCCCCGGAGGGAACGGCAGCGGUCCCGGCGCCCCCCCGCCCGCCGCGCCGUGGUUCGGUCCCGUUUGAAGGUGCGGCGGGCUGGGGCCGGCCCGCGCUGCGGGGGGUAACGAUGGCUGCCGAGGGGAGAGCUGCCGCCCCGGGCCCCGCCAUGGCCGAGCCCCAGCCCGGCGCCGGGCAGCCCCCGUGGGAGGACGGCGGGCCCCGCGGCGAGGAGCUGCCGGCCCCCGGGCCGUCCUCCGGUACGGGGAAGCGGGGGCUCGGGGCGGGGGAAGCGACGGGGCCGUGGUACCUGUAGGCCUCGGGGCGUUCCCUCAGCCCUGCCGCCGCUCUUCAGGUGUGCUUCCAUAUGAACGUGUGACUAUGAAAUCCACAGGGAAUGAAGCAGCGGCGCUUUCCAGCCGUGCAGCGGCCUGGCCGCCGCUCCCGGCCGUCACUAGGUGUCAGCCGCGCUCCGCGGGAGCCCCGGGCCCGCGUGGGACCGGCCCAGGGGCCUGGGGCCGGCCCUGGGACCCCUUGCGCUUGCAGAAAGCGAGGCAUCUCGCCUAUAAACAAAUCUGCACGUUUUCACCUUGUCACUUACCAAACAAGCUGUGGGAAAUAACCGAUGACAUUUCCAAACUGGCCAUUGUCCAUGAAAUUACACUCAACAGGGACCUCAAGCUGCAAGAGGCCAGCUUUUCCCCAGACAGGCUUGGCUUCUCUCUGUCACAUUACAGAAAACAUGAGAAUGUGGAAAGAAGGUGGGUUUGGAUCUGACUGCAGAAGAAACAAGAAAAUAAGAUAGCUUCUGAAAUAAAUAAAAAAAAUUGGAGCUUGUUUUA